rnacentral:rRNA from 1 species
UCCAACCUACGGGACGCAGCAGUGAGGAAUAUUGGUCAAUGGUCGGGAGACUGAACCAGCCAAGCCGCGUGAGGGAGGAAGGUACAGAGUAUCGUAAACCUCUUUUGUCAGGGAACAAAGACUGGGACGCGUCCCCGGAUGAGUGUACCUGAAGAAAAAGCAUCGGCUAACUCCGUGCCAGCAGCCGCGGUAAUACGGAGGAUGCGAGCGUUAUCCGGAUUUAUUGGGUUUAAAGGGUGCGCAGGCGGUCUGUUAAGUCAGCGGUCAAAGCCCGGGGCUCAACCCCGGCCCGCCGUUGAAACUGG